AAACUUUGAGGAAAAUCACUAUGGUUCAUAUUCUUGUUUAUUAAGGAACUUAUUUGAUGACUCAUUUAGGACAAUAGUUAGAUCUUAUGGACCAAGUGGGAGAAUGCAGUAUUACAUCAAUUUUUUCAAAUUGAUUAGUUAUAAAAACUCACUAUUAAGUGGUCCAUAGGUCAGGGGAGUUAUAGUUGUGGAAUGGCCUCAGGCUUAAUGGCCUUGAAUGACCAUUAUAUGAGUGGUAAUAACUUUUAAUUCUAGAUGGUAGAAUCAACUCUAUAAAUAUCCUUUGGCAUCUGAGCUUUCUUUCAUCUUCAUCCCUUCAUUAUAUACACCUGCUAUAUAGGAGAGAGUAAGAGCUUAGAAGAAGAAUGGCAAGAGGUCCUACUCAUGAUUUACAAAUUGAAGAUAUAUCAGAUAAUAGUUGGCUGAUGUAUAUUGUGCAUUGUCAAUCUGAAGAAACAUGAGAUAUGUCUGUAGUAUGUCUACCAGUGGAUCAACUAUCCAAAAUGCAUUAACAAACAUCAGGUCUUUUUCACCAAUGCAUUGUUUUACCAUGUCUGUUGGCCAUUAUCUCAGAAGGUAGAGUAUUUGCAUGUUCUUAUAUUUAGCUUCAUCUAAUCCUUGAAAAUGACCUCUAUAAGACAAUACCAUGUGAACCCUUGUACCUAACUAGACUCUAUUACAAUCCAUCAAAAUACAUUCAUUGGUUAAUUGGUUUGUUUGAGACCCUUAGCAACUAUAUAUACACUAUUCCUUGAGUUCUCAAAGCAACACAAAUCUUUUCCAUUCUGAGUUAUAAAAACUCAAAUAUUUCUUUCUCAUCCAAUCCUCUGCCAUCAUCAGUAUUUUUUUUUGUGAGGAACCAUAAAUACUAAAAACAAUGGGUUUCCGCAUAGCAAAGCUUAUCAGAAUGCCAUCAUUUUCCAAAACACAAGAGACUGCCAAGGGACUUGAAGUCCCAAAAGGCUAUCUCGCAGUCUAUGUUGGAGAUAGAAUGAGGCGGUUCGUGAUUCCAGUAUCAUAUUUGAGCCAGCCAUCGUUUCAAGAAUUACUAAAUCAAUCAGAAGAAGAAUUUGGAUAUGAUCAUCCAAUGGGUGGUCUCACAAUUCCUUGCGGCGAGGAUGAAUUCCUAAAUCUUACUUCUCGCUUGAAUUGAGCUCUAGAUCAUGCUAAUGGAGAUUUAGAUAGAUUAGUUGAAGCUAAUUACUAUAGAAACCAUUUUUUUUUUCUGUUGAAGAUUUUUUAUUGUUCCGUCCAUGUAUUAAUCAAUCAUUCCUACGGAAAUCAAAAUGUUUCCUGAAUGAGAAUGUUAAAUUAUUAAUGACACCAAAUAUUGUUGAAACA